rnacentral:rRNA from 1 species
GGAUGCGAUCAUACCAGCACUAAAGCAUCGGAUCCCAUCAGAACUCCGAAGUUAAGCGUGCUUGGGCGAGAGUAGUACUAGGAUGGGUGACCUCCUACGAAGUCAUCGUGUUGCAUUCC